rnacentral:rRNA from 1 species
GUAGGUGGCAAGCGUUGUCCGGGAAUUAUUGGGGCGUAAAGCGCGCGCAGGCGGUUCUUUAAGUCUGAUGUGAAAGCCCACGGGCUCAACCGUGGAGGGUCAUUGGAAACUGGAGAACUUGAGUACAGAAGAGGAAAGCGGAAUUCCACGUGUAGCGGUGAAAUGCGUAGAGAUGUGGAGGAACACCAGUGGCGAAGGCGGCUUUCUGGUCUGUAACUGACGCUGAGGCGCGAAAGCGUGGGGAGCAAACAGGAUUAGAUACCCUGGUAGUCCACGCCGUAAACGAUGAGUGCUAAGUGUUAGGGGUUUCCGCCCCUUAGUGCUGCAGCUAACGCAUUAAGCACUCCGCCUGGGGAGUACGGCCGCAAAGGCUGA